AGAGUUUGAUCCUGACUCAGGACGAACGCUGGCGGCGUGCCUAAUACAUGCAAGUAGAACGCUGAAGAGAGGAGCUUGCUCUUCUUGGAUGAGUUGCGAACGGGUGAGUAACGCGUAGGUAACCUGCCUUGUAGCGGGGGAUAACUAUUGGAAACGAUAGCUAAUACCGCAUAACAAUGGAUGACACAUGUCAUUUAUUUGAAAGGGGCAAUUGCUCCACUACAAGAUGGACCUGCGUUGUAUUAGCUAGUAGGUGAGGUAAUGGCUCACCUAGGCGACGAUACAUAGCCGACCUGAGAGGGUGAUCGGCCACACUGGGACUGAGACACGGCCCAGACUCCUACGGGAGGCUGCAGUAGGGAAUCUUCGGCAAUGGGGGCAACCCUGACCGAGCAACGCCGCGUGAGUGAAGAAGGUUUUCGGAUCGUAAAGCUCUGUUGUAAGUCAAGAACGGGUGUGAGAGUGGAAAGUUCACACUGUGACGGUAGCUUACCAGAAAGGGACGGCUAACUACGUGCCAGCAGCCGCGGUAAUACGUAGGUGCCGAGCGUUAUCCGGAUUUAUUGGGCGUAAAGCGAGCGCAGGCGGUUUUUUAAGUCUGAAGUUAAAGGCUGUGGCUCAACCAUAGUUCGCUUUGGAAACUGUCAAACUUGAGUGCAGAAGGGGAGAGUGGAAUUCCAUGUGUAGCGGUGAAAUGCGUAGAUAUAUGGAGGAACACCGGUGGCGAAAGCGGCUCUCUGGUCUGUAACUGACGCUGAGGCUCGAAAGCGUGGGGAGCGAACAGGAUUAGAUACCCUGGUAGUCCAUGCCGUAAACGAUGAAUGCUAGGUGUUGGAGGGUUUCCGCCCUUCAGUGCCGCAGCUAACGCAUUAAGCAUUCCGCCUGGGGAGUACGACCGCAAGGUUGAAACUCUAAGGAAUUGACGGGGGCCAGCACAAGCGGUGGAGCAUGUGGUUUAAUUCGAAGCAACGCGAAGAACCUUACCAAGUCUUGACAUCCCUCUGACCGACUCUUAACCGAGUCUUUCCUUCGGGACAGAGGAGACAGGUGGUGCAUGGUUGUCGUCAGCUCGUGCCGUGAGAUGUUGGGUUAAGUCCCGCAACGAGCGCAACCCCUAUCCCCAGUAGCCAGCAUUUUGGAUGGGCACUCUGAGGAGACUGCCAGGGAUAACCUGGAGGAAGGCGGGGAUGACGUCAAAUCAUCAUGCCCCUUAUGAUUUGGGCUACACACGUGCUACAAUGGCGUAAACAAAGGGAAGCGAGCCUGCGAGGGUAAGCAAAUCCCAAAAAUAACGUCCCAGUUCGGACUGCAGUCUGCAACUCGACUGCACGAAGCUGGAAUCGCUAGUAAUCGCGGAUCAGAAUGCCGCGGUGAAUACGUUCCCGGGUCUUGUACACACCGCCCGUCA
rnacentral:rRNA from 1 species